UACGGAGGGGGCUAGCGUUGUUCGGAAUUACUGGGCGUAAAGCGCGCGUAGGCGGAUCUGCAAGUCGGGGGUGAAAUCCCGAGGCUCAACCUCGGAACUGCCUUCGAUACUGCGGGUCUCGAGUCCGGGAGAGGUGAGUGGAAUUCCUAGUGUAGAGGUGAAAAUUCGUAGAUAUUAGGAAGAACACCAGUGGCGAAGGCGGCUCACUGGCCCGGUACUGACGCUGAGG
rnacentral:rRNA from 1 species